GUGAUCCCAGGGACUCAGGAGUCAUGGCAGAGGAAUUUAUUGCUUAGCAACCCAGACAAAUGUCAAGAGUCUUACCAAAUGCAGAUGAUGCUCUGUGGAAGAGACCUGCUUCAAGUCAGGUCAAGUAAAAACAACCUUGCCAGCAAGAUCCAUCAGUGAGGUCACUGAGAGAAGAGGAAACAUACACAAAGCUGCAUGAAAAAGAUAAUUCACCUUAUCAGUGCAACAGAAGUUUCAUAACAACGUAACUCCAGCAGGACACCUCCAUAUGAAUGGCUUUCCAUAGCACCAUACUGGGCAGAUUGCCAGCAAGUUCUACCAGCUUAGCACCACAGUGACUUCUCUGUCAUCUGGUGAGCCUAUGAUCGCCAAUAAAGGUCUGGAUCUCAGCCUGGGCUCUCUUCCUUGGAUCUAUGCUGAACCUAACUGGAAACUGGGUGGCAAGAGUUGAUACAGUCCACACAGGUCGGCCUCCUGGGCAGAGAUCAGAGUAGGACAGGAUGAAGAACACAUCUGGAGGGUCAAAGAGAAGCUAUGACACAGGGCUUCUCAUCCUCAGACUUUUUUCUGAAGGCAGAUGAAGCACCAAACCUCGGGUGAGCCAAUUAAGAACAAAUGGCGCAGUUACAGAAGACAGGAUGCAACCCUGCCACCUAUCUCUCUCUUUCAGAUGGUAAUCGUGUACCCAUACCACAGGACACUCCCCUUGGGUGCAUCUGCCAAACUGGGAAAAGGUUUUUUUCUCAGUCGACUGAAUUAUUUUUCUCCAUUUUGUCUUGCCAUUCUUGGUGCAAACAUGAGAGGCCCUAAGAUAAUUUCUGAGAUCAUGGGACUCCUUGAGAAAAAUAGAAAAGGUGCUACGGACCCCAUCUUAAGAUAAAACGUCUGUUUUCCUCAUGGAACCCCAGUGUCCGUGUGCCUAAUUCUUCCUGGUUGUGUGACAAGACCUCGGACUGAGCUGAGCUAAGGAGCAGAAAAACUGCAACAAUAUGAGGGAAAAGACAGAAGGCAGACUGUGACAAAUGAAUUUAACUGUACUACAGAUGAAUUAGAUAACCACAAUGAAGAAGAUGGAAAGAAAGUUGAUGAUCUCCAUAACUUUAGAAAAUGCUUUGGCUUAAUAAUGCAAGGCUAAGGACAAAAAAUAAGUAUAUAUAGACAUAAACUUUAGUUGAUACAUUUGUUUCUCAGAGGGGAAGGAGCCAGAAAUUCUGAAACUACUUUAUUUGUAUAUUAGGGUUGAGCAAGCAAGUAAAUAUGUUAGAAUAUAAUGAGAACCAGGUUUCUCGCUGUCAAUGAAAGAAGCUACAAACAACAAAAAAAGGAAGGAUAAAAUGAACCGUGGUGUUGUAUAGGAGUUCUAGUUACCAAUGUGGAAUCGUGGUUUCUUUAAAACACAUCUAUCUACAUAAGUAGACAUAGAAACAAAUACAGAUGUGUAUAAGCAUGACUUUUUAUACAUAUGUAUUUUUUAUCUCUAUCUACUGAGAAAGCCAAAAGCAGCAGCACCCCAGUAGUCACAAAUAUCAGUGGCAUCCAGAUUUAGAUCUAUGAAUAUAAUUUUUCAAUUAAAAAGACAGGGCUCCUUGGAGGUCUACUUGACUCCAGGGUGAGGGUAAGAAAAAUUUAGGAGAAGUCUGAAGUAUCUGUGAUGACAGAAAAAAGAAAGCACUUAAAAAAUAAGGGAUAGAAGAGGGGAAACAAAGAAAAGAAUGGAGCAUAUAAAAAACACACAGGAACCAACCUAUCUGGGCACAAUGGUGUGCACCUGUAGUCCCAGGCACUUAGAAGGCUAAAGUGGGAAGAUCCCUUAAGCCCAGGAGUUCAAGCCCAGCUUGGGCAACAAAGCGAGACCCCAUCUCUUAAAAACAAAGAAGCCAAUAUGAAUGGUCAAAGUUGAAAAAUAUUGAAUAAGAAAAUAAAUAAUGAUAUUGUUAGAUUAUAAUGAAAAUAAUCAGAUAAUAUCCAUGAGCUUACACUAAUGCAAAUAAAUUAAUGGAUUAAUAAAAUAAAUAGAGGAAAAUACCAACUCUUCAGAAAAAAAUACAAUUAAUAAAGAUAGAAGGAAUGAUAGAAAUAUGAUAUUAUUACUAGAAUCUCAAAGGGAUAAUUGCUCCAGGUAAGAUCCAGCAGUGAAUGUUCAAAUUAGUGGAUAAAAAAAUAUUUUCCGAAACAGGAUAUUUGCAUAGUCUCUAAGUGCCUCUCUCAAAAUAAUUAGGAACCACAAAGAGAUAAAUAGUAAAUAUACCAUGGAGAGGCUAGCAGAUACAACCUUAGUCAAGUGAUCAAGGUGAGCCUCACCAGCAAUGACUUAUGUGAUAUGCCUCCUUCCCCUAUAUGAUAUUACCAAAGAGUACUUCACUUCUGUACUAUUCUUACCACAUAAUCCAUAACCACUGCCUGAACAUGGGAAAACAUCACACAAAUCAUUUGGUGGACACUCUACAAAAUAAAUAAUCAGUAUUCUUCCAAAUAUCAGCGUCAUGGAUAAGGGAGCCUAAGGAAUUGUCAUAGAGUACCUAAAACCAAAGAGACAUGUCACAUAAAUGCAAUGUGGGAUCCUGAACUGAAUUCUGAAACAAAGGAAAGGUCAUUAGUGAAAGACAGUAUUUUACCAAUGUUAAUUUCUUAGUUGUGAUCAAUAUUCCAUGUUAGAUGUUAAUGUAAGGGGAAACUAGGUAAGAGUAUAUAGGAAUUAUGUGUAGCAUUUUUGCAACUCUUCUGUAAUUCUGAAAUUAUUUCAAUUUUUAAAGGUUUUACCUAUGAAAGGGAUAAAGGAUUUAGGAUUAUGGGUCAGGGACAGCCAUUAGAUUUUUUUAAUGAAUACGUUUUGUGUAAUUAUGAUUUUUGAACUAUAUGAAGCUAUUAAUAAUUUAGAACUAAAUUUAAUGUUUUAAAAUAAAUACAAAUAAAAGGAGGUUUUUAAAAAAAUUUAUACUUUAGUUUCUAAAUUGUAUACAGGUUUUUCACAUGGAAUAUGAUAAAAUAAUAUGCACUAUUAGAAAGAAAAUAUGUAAAAAGUAUAACAAAAUUAAAAGAUUUAUGUAGAGUUGGUGGCAGAAAGUAUUCAAGCUUUGAGACCUCAUAACAUCAAAAUGAAGUUUCCAUUGCUAUUGUUUGUGAAGUACAAAAGUACAUUACCAGCUAUGUCAGAAAUAAUUUAGAGAUAAUAGGAAUACCCUGCCUUAAUUAAACUCUUAGUAAAUGUUCAAUGAAUGAGUCACUGUCAUGUUUCUCUGUCUCUUCUACAGACCUCAGUGGACUUGUUCCAAGGAAAAGGAAAGAGGGAUGGAGCAUGGUUUUAUGGCAGCCUUUCCCCAGAAUGAAAUAUACUUUGAGCACAUGAGCUCAUGAGCAGGAGAAAACUGAUCGGAAGGACAUGAUGGCCAUACAAACCUUGUCCUGCAAUAUUCUGCCAGCUUUUUCUCAAGAUGCAUAGAAACGUGAAGCAAGUGACAGCCACAUCACCAAUUUUAUCCAUAAUUACAAAAUGCAGCCCUAUUUCAGUGAUGUUCAAAGAUUUGUGAUCCAUUCAAGUCCAUUUAUUUGACUUAGCCUCACAGAUACUUCCUCAAUUUUCCCUUCCACCAAGUUAGGAUCAAUAGCAUCUCCUGGGCAUGGAGCUGUCUUGGCAGUCUCUGAUCACUGAGCUUUCUCAGGAAGUACUCUGUCUUUUUGAGCAGAAGGAUUUUUAUAUUAAGCUCAAAUACAGCACUUCAAUAACAAUUUGAGUGACCUAGGCUUGCAGCUGACAUAGUGUCCAGGUGAUUGCCAGCUAAUCAAAGUGAUGAAAUUUAUCAAUCUGAAAUAAUUCACCUGAAGAUGUACAGCUAUAGUACAUAUUAUGAAAUUAUUGGGAAGGUGCAAAUUAUAUAUUGUGGAAGUGAGUGAUCUAAAUAAAAAACUGCAAAGUAAGUU
rnacentral:lncRNA from 1 species